rnacentral:rRNA from 2 species
AGUAAGCGCGAGUCAUCAGCUCGCGU